UAGUCCACGCCGUAAACGAUGGUCACUAGCUGUUCGGUUUCGACUGAGUGGCUAAGCGAAAGUGAUAAGUGACCCACCUGGGGAGUACGUUCGCAAGAAUGAAACUCAAAGGAAUUGACGGGGGCCCGCACAAGCGGUGGAGCAUGUGGUUUAAUUCGAUGAUACGCGAGGAACCUUACCAGGGCUUAAAUGUAGAUUGACAGGACUAGAGAUAGUUUUUUCUUCGGACAAUUUACAAGGUGCUGCAUGGUUGUCGUCAGCUCGUGCCGUGAGGUGUCAGGUUAAGUCCUAUAACGAGCGCAACCCCUGUUGUUAGUUGCCAGCAUGUAAAGAUGGGAACUCUAACAAGACUGCCGGUGCAAACCGUGAGGAAGUGGGGAUGACGUCAAAUCAUCACGGCCCUUACGUCCUGGGCUACACACGUGCCACAAUGGUAUAGACAAUGAGCAGCCACUUCGCGAGAAGGAGCGAAUCUACAACUAUAUCUCAGUUCGGAUCGGAGU
rnacentral:rRNA from 1 species